GGUACUCGACACGGGGGCUGAUGCGCAUGGCGCAUCGGCUGAGAGAGGCCAAGCCUCGACCGAUUGAACGUGAAUCCGGACAAUGCCGGCGCACGGACGUCGAAUUUCCCGUGCC
rnacentral:ncRNA from 2 species